rnacentral:lncRNA from 1 species
CUGGUUGGCUCUCUAGGUAAGUCUGUAUCUCUCCCUCCCUCUGUAAAAAUUAAACCCAUUGCUUCUUCACUUUCUCAAACAAACCUUAUAUACACAACUACUGAUACUCCUCCCUCAACCACCAGAUCCUCUAACCAACCAUCUCAAAAAUUCAACCUCGCCACCACAACUCUACAUGUUUCAGAAGCAGAAAUGCUAAAUGAAACCACUUCACCAUCUUCAUCACCAUCUCCUCAAUCCCCACCUUACUAC